rnacentral:rRNA from 1 species
CCUACGGGUGGCAGCAGUGGGGAAUAUUGGACAAUGGGCGAAAGCCUGAUCCAGCCAUGCCGCGUGUGUGAAGAAGGCCUUCGGGUUGUAAAGCACUUUCAGUGGGGAAGAAAGCCUUGGGGCUAAUACCCUCGAGGAAGGACAUCACCCACAGAAGAAGCACCGGCUAACUCCGUGCCAGCAGCCGCGGUAAUACGGAGGGUGCGAGCGUUAAUCGGAAUUACUGGGCGUAAAGCGCGCGUAGGCGGUCUGAUAAGCCGGUUGUGAAAGCCCCGGGCUCAACCUGGGAACGGCAUCCGGAACUGUCAGGCUAGAGUGCAGGAGAGGAGGGUAGAAUUCCCGGUGUAGCGGUGAAAUGCGUAGAGAUCGGGAGGAAUACCAGUGGCGAAGGCGGCCUUCUGGACCGACACUGACGCUGACGUGCGAAAGCGUGGGUAGCAAACAGGAUUAGAUACCCCGGUAGUC